rnacentral:rRNA from 1 species
UACGUAGGGGGCAAGCGUUGUCCGGAUUUAUUGGGCGUAAAGAGCUCGUAGGCGGUUUGUCGCGUCGGCUGUGAAAACUCGGGGCUCAACCCCGAGCCUGCAGUCGAUACGGGCAAACUAGAGUGGUGGUAGGGGAGACUGGAAUUCCUGGUGUAGCAGUGAAAUGCGUAGAUAUCGAGAGGAACACCUGCGGCGAAGGCGGGUUGCUGGGCUGACACGUGACGCUGAGGCGCGAAAGCCAGGGGAGCGAACGGG